ACGUUGAGCGGCUGGCUCCGCCCACUUCGCCGGCUGCGCGAGGCGGUUGGGAAGAGAAGGGAAAGGCUGGUGUUCUAUAGCAGGCGCGUUCAAAGCUAAACAACUCUGGUCAUUCCUCCCCCCCCCCCAAUCAACAGCACCGUGCGAUCCUCCCCUUCCACCCACCCUCGGUCCUCCUCCCUCCAAUGAAAAAACUGCAUUUUUUUAAUACUAGGAGUAGAUCGCAGUCUCUCGGGAGUUGGACGUGCCUGCUCAAUAAUAGCACCUGGUCCCAGUGCUGCUAAAAGGCCUGCAGCAGGAGAAGACACAAGACAACCCUGGUCCUUUGCGGCCUGCAGCAGGAGAAGACACAAGACAACCCUGGUCCUUUGCGGUAAAGGCAUAUUCCAUUUUUAACGUGACCCUUUUUGAGAAAAUAAUUAGCAUUUUAAGAAACGCAACAAAGCUUUUACCUGCUGGAAGCAAGCACAGAUGGCAAGUAAGGGAAGAACCAAGAGAACUUGCAUUUUAAAGCUCUUUCGGGUGAACCCCUACCAAUUCACAAAGCAAGUAAAUCGUAGCUGGGCAAUCUAAAUGCUGGCAGUGAAAGAGAGGAGGGCUGUAUGUAAAGAAGCCUGCUAUCAUUUUACAUCAGUCAGAUUAUUGUGACUGUAAAACAGGGGCGAUGGAAAGUUUUCCACUCCACGGUGCUCUUGGACACCCCUCCUAAAAAUAGAAAGUGGCAGCUGGGUGUUGCAACUGAAACCAAAGAUGAUCCAUGAACGGCGUUAAAGGAAGCCUGAUGGUAUUUUGGGAAGGGCUGCCUCCACCUGUUGAGGCCGGGAUGAGAAUUGGCCACACUCAGAAAAAUCCAUAUUCUACUAUCGUGGUUUGAAAUUGGAUAGAACUGGAGGAAGCUGCGAAAUGAAAACUGGUGCCAAAAAUACUGUGUGUACAUUCUUCCUUUUACAAGGCAAGCUUUCUAUUCCUCUUAGCUGUCUCCAGCGCUAUAGUUUUAACACUACUUCUUUGAGCUGUGGUGCUGUAAAUCAAUCUUAAUAAAGCAGAGCAUUAAUAUAACUCCAUCCCAGAUUUGGAAUCACUACUUUUAUUGAUACUGCCCUUCUGUAACACAGCCAAAAGCUAUCAAAUUAAUGUCUGUUUCUAUAUGUUGAUCAUGUGUACAAUUAAUUCUUAAAAAACACAACAGAGAAACAAUCUUUUUUCAAAAGGGUAUUGAAAAUAAAUACUAUAGUAUUGAAAAGCUGAGCAGCAAUAUAUGGCAGUAAGUUUAUAAAAUAUUUAUCUGUCCUAUUAGUUGAUCUCCAGGAAUUAAAAGCUGUUGUAUUUCAGAAGCAUCUGAUCCACACUGAGUUGAUUUGCUGAUUGUUAGGAACUCAGUUCAUGAACAGUGCAAAGUAGUAUUGAUGCUCCAGGAGCCACUACCAAAAAGUCCUACACAAAAUGUUCAGCAUACACUUAAUAGAGAAGACAACUGUUAUAGCCACUCCUCAUAAAGAUUUUCUGUCCACUCAUUCAUUUAAUAAUUGUGCUGGCAGGCUGUAUGAAAUCUCUUAUAUAAUUAUAGUAGCACUAAGAAACAGCUGAGUAGUCAACAAAUAGGAAUUUACAUGUUUUAAAAUUAUUUAAACAUGUAUAUACAGUGCAACUAGAUCCUGGGUUAACAAGUAAAUGGAAGGGAGAUUUCCCCUUUCUGAAAGCUUUUCUGGAGGACUGGGCCCUUCUGAAUAAUAUGGGAUGGGGAGGCGGGGUGAGACACUGUUGGGGGAAUGGUACAAAGGUGAACCUCUACCCAAUUUUGAGCAAAUCCCUGUUCCUGUAGCAGCUUCCCAACACCAUUGCGCAGAAGGGCAUACCUGCCACACUAAAUGGCAUUUUGGGAGGUGCAGGUGACCUGAGCUCUACGAGUUAUGAGUUCCUGGCCUAGAAAACUUCAAGACACUAAUGCCUACACUUUAUAAACCACUUUACAGGA